GUGUUGUAAGUGUUUAAGGGCGCAUGGUGGAUGCCUUGGCACUGGGAGCCGAUGAAGGACGUGGGAGGCUGCGAUAUGCCUCGGGGAGCUGUCAACCGAGCGUUGAUCCGAGGAUGUCCGAAUGGGGAAACCCGGCACGAGUGAUGUCGUGUCACCCGGCACUGAAUACAUAGGUGUCGGGGGGGAACGCGGGGAAGUGAAACAUCUCAGUACCCGUAGGAAGAGAAAACAAAAGUGAUUCCGUGAGUAGUGGCGAGCGAAAGCGGAGGAUGGCUAAACCGUGCUCAUGUGAUACCCGGCAGGGGUUGUGUGUGCGGUGUUGUGGGGUUCGUCGUUUCCAGGUCUGCCGGUCUGGGCUGCAGUGAGAAAAGCUUGUGUUAGGUGAACUGGUUUGGGAUGGCCGACCGUAGAGGGUGAGAGUCCCGUAGUCGAAAACAUGUGCUCUGUAGUGGCGUGUCCCCGAGUAGCAGCGGGCCCGUGGAAUCUGCUGUGAAUCUGCCGGGACCACCCGGUAAGCCUGAAUACUUCCCAGUGACCGAUAGCGGAUUAGUACCGUGAGGGAAUGGUGAAAAGUACCCCGGGAGGGGAGUGAAAGAGUACCUGAAACCGUGCGCCUACAAUCCGUCAGAGCCUUCGUGUUAAAGCGUGGGGUGAUGGCGUGCCUUUUGAAGAAUGAGCCUGCGAGUCAGGGACAUGUCGCGAGGUUAACCCGGGUGGGGUAGCCGUAGCGAAAGCGAGUCUGAAUAGGGCGUAUCCGCACAAGAGUGUGUGGUGUAGUGGUGUGUUCUGGACCCGAAGCGGAGUGAUCUACCCAUGGCCAGGGUGAAGCGUCGGUAAGACGUCGUGGAGGCCCGAACCCACUUAGGUUGAAGACUGAGGGGAUGAGCUGUGGGUAGGGGUGAAAGGCCAAUCAAACUCCGUGAUAGCUGGUUCUCCCCGAAAUGCAUUUAGGUGCAGCGUUGCAUGCUUCUUGUUGGAGGUAGAGCUACUGGAUGGCCGAUGGGCCUCACAAGGUUACUGACGUCAGCCAAACUCCGAAUGCCGACAAGUGAGAGUGUGGCAGUGAGACGGCGGGGGAUAAGCUCCGUGCGUCGAGAGGGAAACAGCCCAGAUCGCCGGCUAAGGCCCCUAAGCGUGUGCUAAGUGGAAAAGGAUGUGCAGUCGCGAAGACAACCAGGAGGUUGGCUUAGAAGCAGCCACCCUUGAAAGAGUGCGUAAUAGCUCACUGGUCAAGUGAUUGUGCGCCGAUAAUGUAGCGGGGCUCAAGCACACCGCCGAAGCCGCGGCAAUCAGACUUGUGUCUGGUUGGGUAGGGGAGCGUCCUGCAUCCGGUGAAGCAGCAGAGUGAUCUAGUUGUGGAGGGUGUGGGAGUGAGAAUGCAGGCAUGAGUAGCGAUAAGGCAAGUGAGAACCUUGCCCGCCGAAAGACCAAGGGUUCCUGGGCCAGGCCAGUCCGCCCAGGGUGAGUCGGGACCUAAGGCGAGGCCGACAGGCGUAGUCGAUGGACAACGGGUUGAUAUUCCCGUACCCGUGUGUGAGCGUCCCUGAUGAAUCACCGGUACUAACCGCCCAAAACUGUGGUCACGGAUCCCUUCGGGGUGAUGGAUCGCAGGGCUGCGCGGGACCUUCGGUGGUAGUAGUCAAGCGAUGGGGUGACGCAGGAAGGUAGCCGUACCAGUCAGUGGUUGUACUGGGGUAAGCCUGUAGGACGACAUCUAGGUAAAUCCGGAUGUCAUAUAAGUCUGAGAGGUGAUGCAUAGCCGAUUGAGGCGAAUUCGGUGAUCCUAUGCUGCCAAGAAAAGCCUCUAGCGAGUGCGCACACGGCCCGUACCCCAAACCGACACAGGUGGUCAGGUAGAGAAUACCAAGGCGUACGAGUGAACUAUGGUUAAGGAACUCGGCAAAAUGCCCCCGUAACUUCGGGAGAAGGGGGACCCACGGUACGUGUAAGCCUUUACGGCCCAAGCGGAUGUGGGUGGCACAAACCAGUGAGAAGCGACUGUUUACUAAAAACACAGGUCCGUGCGAAGUCGCAAGACGAUGUAUACGGACUGACGCCUGCCCGGUGCUGGAAGGUUAAGAGGACCGGUUAACCCUUCGGGGUGAAGCUGAGAAUUUAAGCCCCAGUAAACGGCGGUGGUAACUAUAACCAUCCUAAGGUAGCGAAAUUCCUUGUCGGGUAAGUUCCGACCUGCACGAAUGGCGUAACGACUUCUCAACUGUCUCAACCAUAGACUCGGCGAAAUUGCAUUACGAGUAAAGAUGCUCGUUACGCGCGGCAGGACGAAAAGACCCCGGGACCUUCACUACAACUUGGUAUUGGAGUUCGGUUCGGUUUGUGUAGGAUAGGUGGGAGACUGUGAAACUCAGACGCCAGUUUGGGUGGAGUCGUUGUUGAAAUACCACUCUGAUCGUAUUGGGCUUCUAACUUCGAACCGUAUAUCCGGUUCAGGGACAGUGCCUGGUGGGUAGUUUAACUGGGGCGGUUGCCUCCUAAAAUGUAACGGAGGCGCCCAAAGGUUCCCUCAACCUGGACGGCAAUCAGGUGUUGAGUGUAAGUGCACAAGGGAGCUUGACUGCGAGACGUACAUGUCGAGCAGGGACGAAAGUCGGGACUAGUGAUCCGGCACCUCUGAGUGGAAGGGGUGUCGCUCAACGGAUAAAAGGUACCCCGGGGAUAACAGGCUGAUCUUCCCCAAGAGUCCAUAUCGACGGGAUGGUUUGGCACCUCGAUGUCGGCUCGUCGCAUCCUGGGGCUGGAGCAGGUCCCAAGGGUUGGGCUGUUCGCCCAUUAAAGCGGCACGCGAGCUGGGUUUAGAACGUCGUGAGACAGUUCGGUCUCUAUCCGCCGCGCGCGUCAGAAGCUUGAGGAAAUCUGUCCCUAGUACGAGAGGACCGGGACGGACGAACCUCUGGUAUACCAGUUGUUCCACCAGGAGCACCGCUGGAUAGCCACGUUCGGACAGGAUAACCGCUGAAAGCAUCUAAGCGGGAAACCCCCUCCAAGACCAGGCUUCUCACCCAUUAAGUGGGAUAAGGCCCCCCGCAGACCACGGGAUUGAUAGACCAGACCUGGAAGCCUAGUAAUAGGUGCAGGGAACUGGCACUAACCGGCCGAAAACUUACACACACCC
rnacentral:rRNA from 1 species